AUCUGGAGGUAAGAAGCACUUUGUGUUUUGUGAAAGAAAGUGCUUCCUUUCAGAGGGU
rnacentral:pre_miRNA from 1 species